rnacentral:rRNA from 1 species
CCGCAUUAGCUAGUUGGUGAGGUAACGGCUCACCAAGGCGACGAUGCGUAGCCGACCUGAGAGGGUGAUCGGCCACACUGGAACUGAGACACGGCCCAGACUCCUACGGGAGGCAGCAGUAGGGAAUCUUCCGCAAUGGACGAAAGUCUGACGGAGCAACGCCGCGUGAGUGAUGAAGGUUUUCGGAUCGUAAAACUCUGUUGUUAGGGAAGAACAAAUA